rnacentral:SRP_RNA from 1 species
GCCAGGCAUGGUGGUGCAUACCUGUAGUCCCAGCUACUCGGUAGGCUGAGGUGGGAGGAUCACUUGAGCCUGGGAAGUUGAGGCUGCAGUGAGCCAUGAUCAUGCCACUGCACUCCAGCCUGGGCAACAGAGUGAGAUCCUGUCUCAA